rnacentral:rRNA from 1 species
AUUGAACGCUGGCGGCAUGCCUUACACAUGCAAGUCGAACGGCAGCACGGGUGCUUGCACCUGGUGGCGAGUGGCGCACGGGUGAGUAAUACAUCGGAACAUGUCCUGUAGUGGGGGAUAGCCCGGCGAAAGCCGGAUUAAUACCGCAUACGAUCUACGGAUGAAAGCGGGGGACCUUCGGGCCUCGCGCUAUAGGGUUGGCCGAUGGCUGAUUAGCUAGUUGGUGGGGUAAAGGCCUACCAAGGCGACGAUCAGUAGCUGGUCUGGGAGGACGACCAGCCACACUGGGACUGAGACACGGCCCAGACUCCUACGGGAGGCAGCAGUGGGGAAUUUUGGACAAUGGGCGAAAGCCUGAUCCAGCAAUGCCGCGUGUGUGAAGAAGGCCUUCGGGUUGUAAAGCACUUUUGUCCGGAAAGAAAUCCUUGGCUCUAAUACAGUCGGGGGAUGACGGUACCGGAAGAAUAAGCACCGGCUAACUACGUG